UACGAAGGGUGCUAGCGUUGUUCGGAAUCACUGGGCGUAAAGCGCGCGUAGGCGGUUAUUCAAGUCAGGGGUGAAAUCCUGGGGCUCAACCCCAGAAUUGCCUCUGAAACUGUAUAACUAGAGUGUCGGAGGGGAUAGCGGAAUUGCUAAUGUAGCGGUGAAAUGCGUAGAUAUUAGCAGGAACACCGGUGGCGAAGGCGGCUAUCUGGACGACAACUGACGCUGAGGCGCGAAAGCGUGGGGAUCAAACAGG
rnacentral:rRNA from 1 species